rnacentral:rRNA from 1 species
AUUGAACGCUGGCGGCAGGCCUAACACAUGCAAGUCGAACGGUAGCACAGAGAGCUUGCUCUCGGGUGACGAGUGGCGGACGGGUGAGUAAUGUCUGGGAAACUGCCUGAUGGAGGGGGAUAACUACUGGAAACGGUAGCUAAUACCGCAUAAUGUCGCAAGACCAAAGAGGGGGACCUUCGGGCCUCUUGCCAUUGGAUGUGCCCAGAUGGGAUAGCUAGUAGGUGGGGUAACGGCUCACCUAGGCGACGAUCCCUAGCUGGUCUGAGGGGAUGACCAGCCACACUGGAACUGAGACACGGUCCAGACUCCUACGGGAGGCAGCAGUGGGGAAUAUUGCACAAUGGGCGCAAGCCUGAUGCAGCCAUGCCGCGUGUAUGAAGAAGGCCUUCGGGUUGUAAAGUACUUUCAGCGGGGAGGAAGGGGUUGAGUUUAAUACGCUCAAUCAUUGACGUUACCCGCAGAAGAAGCACCGGCUAACUCCGUGCCAGCCGCCGCGGUAAGAC